rnacentral:rRNA from 1 species
GAUGAACGCUAGCGGCAGGCUUAACACAUGCAAGUCGAGGGGCAACACGGGUAGCAAUACCUGGUGGCGACCGGCGCAAGGGUGCGUAACGCGUGAGCAACAUGCCCUAUACAGGGGGAUAAUCCAGGGAAACUUGGUCUAAUAUCCCAUAGUAUUUAGAGGUGGCAUCACCACUAAAUUAAAGCUUCGGUGGUAUAGGAUUGGCUCGCGUGACAUUAGCUAGAUGGUGAGGUAACGGCUCACCAUGGCAAUGAUGUCUAGGGGUUCUGAGAGGAAGGCCCCCCACACUGGGACUGAGACACGGCCCAGACUCCUACGGGAGGCAGCAGUGAGGAAUAUUGGACAAUGGAUGGAAAUCUGAUCCAGCCAUGCCGCGUGCAGGAAGACAGCCCUAUGGGUUGUAAACUGCUUUUAUAUGGGAGCAAUAAGGUCUACGUGUAGACUGAUGAGAGUACCAUAUGAAUAAGC